rnacentral:rRNA from 1 species
GAUGAACGCUGGCGACGUGCCUAAUACAUGCAAGUCGAGCGAAGCGGGGACGGGUGAGUAACACGUGGAUAACCUCCUAUAAGACUGGGAGAACUUCGGGAAACCGGAGCUAAACCGGAUACAUAUAGCUGGAUCAGGGCUGCAUUAUCUAGUUGGUAAGGUAACGGCUUACCAAGGCAACGAUGCAUAGCCGACCUGGGGGGUGGAUAGGCCCCACGAGACCGGAGAUAAGACCCAGACCACCCAGGGAGGCAGCAGUAGGGAAUCGUCCGCAAUGUGCGAAACCCUGACGUGGCAACGCCGCGUGAUGGAUGAAGGUCUGCGGAUCGUAGAACUCUGUUAUUUGGGAAGCUGUACCUAAUCAGAAAGCCACGGCUAACUACGUGCCAGCAGCCGCGGUAAUAC